GGCUGUGUAGUGUAGUGGUUUAUCACUCGAGAUUUUGAUGGCUGGCAACCUAGUCUGGCUUAUGUCAUUCUCGUAACCUCAGUUCGAACCUGGGCACGGCCU